UAACAACCCUUCUCCAUACCCCACCCUAUCAGCCCAAACCCUCCCCUUUAAUGUCUUCCACUCUUUACCCCCCUCAUUGUCCUACAACACAUCUCUUUCUAUCCUUCUACUCCUCUCUGGCUUCUUUCACAACAGCCUCAAAACAAAACCCAAGAGAUUACAAGUGUUCAUUAUGGUCAUCCAAGCUCACACAACCAACCAUACUAUCAUUUCAUCAACAUAAGCCACUCUUGGUGUGAAGUCUCUUGAAGUUGUUCAUCUAGCAGCAAUGCAACAUCCAAGUUUCGGACCGUUUGGUUAUUUUGGAGUUGUCACAGAAAAGGAGGCUGGUCUCUAAGCUGCAACCCGCAACUCUUUUGCAAGGAGAUCAAGUUAGACGAAUAUGGCAUCGUUUCAGAAGAUCGUAGAUGUUGAAACAAUCAGAGAGACCCAACGAGCACGAGGUCUAGCCACCAUUCUUGCCAUUGGCACCGCAACUCCUUACAAUUGUAUUUAUCAAGCUGAUUACCCUGACUAUUAUUUCCGCGUUACUAAAAGCGAGCAUAUGAUUAAUCUGAAAGAGAAGUUUAAACGUAUUUGUGACAAAACGAUGAUCAAGAAGCGAUUCAUGUUCCUAACGGAAGAGUUUCUGAAGGAAAAUCCCAACAUGUGUGAGUACAUGAGUCCGUCUCUGAACACUCGCCAAGACUUGUUGAUCACCGCAAUCCCAAAGCUCGGCAAGGAAGCCGCCACCAAAGCCAUCGAAGAGUGGGGAGUCUCAAAAUCUAAGAUCACCCAUCUCAUCUUUAGCACCACCUCGGGAAUCGACAUGCCUGGUGCUGACUUUCAACUCACCAAGUUACUUGGUCUCUCCCCUUUAGUCAAUCGGCUAAUGAUAUACCAACAGGGUUGUUCGGCAGGGGGCACAGCACAUCGUCUAGCCAAGGACAUUGCCGAAAACAAUAAGAGUUCACGCAUCCUUGUUGUCUGCUCUGAUAGCAUGGCUUCAAUUUUCCGUGGACCUAGUGAGGACCACAUUGAUUCUUUAGUGGGUCAAGCUCCUUUUAGAGAUGGAGCGGCUGCAAUCAUCGUGGGUUCAGACCCGGAUUUAUCGACUGAACAUCCAUUGUUUGAGAUUGUGUCUGCAAAUCAAACAAUUAUACCAGACACUGAGAUGGCUAUGAAGUUACACUUGAGGGAAGAAGGGCUCACAUUCCACUUGCACAAGGAUGUACCCAAGAUGAUCUUUGAGAAUAUAGAGAGCGCGUUAAAGCGGGCCGUUUCUCCACUUGGUCUAAGUGAUUGGAACUCGCUGUUUUGGAUAGUUCAUCCUGGUGGUAGAGCCAUACUCGAUAACGUGGAAUUAAAGCUUGAACUAGAUAAGGAGAAGUUGAGGGCUAGUAGGCAUGUGCUAAGUGAAUAUGGAAACUUGAAUAGUGCAUGUGUGUUGUUCAUCAUCAAUGAGAUAAGAAAUAAAUCUUUGGAAAUUGGAAAAUGUACAACCGGUGAAGGUUUAGAUUGGGGUGUUUUGUUUGGAUUUGGCCCGGGUUUAACAAUCGAAACGAUUGUUCUUCGUAGCCAACCGGUGACUACUCCCAUUGCCGCUAUAACGAAUGGUGCAAAAUAGCUAGUUAAUCAUCCAACUGUUAUUGAUAAGAAAUAGCGGUUAAUUGACCCAAAAGAACACUAUGCCCAUAAAAGGCUCAAAAGGGUUAUGGCCUUCCGCUGAUCAAAAAAUGGAGAUGAAGAUAAUUUCAGUAGGAAUGGAAGUGUCUGUAUAUAUGAUUCAGAAAGGAGCUAACCUGGUAUAAUAUUGAUUGUACUCUUUAAGAUAAAUCAGUUUUGUUGCAACUGUAUGAAAUUAACCAACUAUUGCUAGGCCAAUAAAGAAUUGAACAGAGACGGAAGGGGUUUGUUC